UGAGGAAUCUUGGGCAAUGGGGGAAACCCUGACCCAGCCACGCCGCGUGGAGGAAGACACCCUUACGGGGCGUAAACUCCUUUUGUACGAGAAGAAGGUCCCGUUCGUCGGGAUUUGACGGUACCGCACGAAUAAGCACCGGCUAACUCCGUGCCAGCAGCCGCGGUAAUACGGAGGGUGCAAGCGUUGUCCGGAAUUAUUGGGCGUAAAGCGUCCGCAGGUGGUGAUUCAAGUCCGCUGUCAAAGACCGGGGCUCAACCCUGGGCCGGCAGUAGAAACUGAAGCACUAGAGUUCGGUAGGGGUAGAGGGAAUUCCCAGUGUAGCGGUGAAAUGCGUAGAGAUUGGGAAGAACACCAGUGGCGAAAGCGCUCUACUGGGCCGAGACUGACACUCAGGGACGAAAGCUAGGGGAGCGAAAGGGAUUAGAUACCCCGGUAGUCC
rnacentral:rRNA from 1 species